UCCUAAACGAUGCCAAGUCCUUUAAACCAGA
rnacentral:piRNA from 1 species